CUUUUUGCUAGUCCAGAGUAAGUGUACAUACAACUGCUUCCGUCACAAGUACAGAAAAGAAAUUUGACGCACAUAUAACAUGCUAAUCAAGGACAAUAAUUUCACACCCAUUUUUAUAAAAUCGUAAACUAGUUAACAAUUGAAGCCAUUCAGUGGUUGCAGACGAUGCUACCAUCUUAAAAUUUUAUAAAGGAAGCUUUCUGCAAUAUCAGCAGUUUAACAGGCAGAAAACUAAAAAUCGCUGUGAAGUAUUCGCUUUUACUCAAAUAAUUAAUGAAGUUUAUUUAGUUAACAGUUGUAAUUCACUCAUAAUUUGAAUAAGGUAAAUUUUAAAUCAUUAACAACCAUUUUUUAUUGAAAAGUUAAUUUUUAAUUUUUAAUUUUAACAAGAUCAAAAAAAUGCUUUAUGAAUAUUCUUUGAUUAAGCACAUAAACUACGUUUGUAUGAAAGAAGUUGUUCAAAAUGCAGCAAUUCCAUUUUUUCUUUGGUUUAUUGUUGCUGGGAGCAAACAUGUCAAAUGUUAUUGGACAAACAAUUUGUUAUAGCCCAUUGGGAGGAAAGAUGUAUCCAAAGCAGUUAACAGAAAAAUAUGGUGAUUGGCAAGCACUUUGUCAAGUAAAUGGAGAACUGUUAUGGCAUAAUGUUCUAUAUAAAUAAAAAAUAAAUGACAAUUAAAUUUAAUUUCUUGUAAAUAUAAUCAUAUAGAUCACCAAUUAACAUAAUUAAACAAAUAUAUAAUCGUUUUCUUAA